UGCUACGAGCCUUUAUGGCCCUUGAAAUAACUGGGUCUGCCGGGGCCCACGGUGGUAGUUGCGAACUCCGUGGUCUGGGCCGUCCUGUCAUCGGCCUCUCCCGGUAGGACCAGAGGGAAACUGCCCCACACAACCUUGAACCCCCGGCCCCAGCGCAGCCGCCUUUGGAUACGCGCUCCCUGCACCUUCUACUUGUGCAUGCAUUUUGAGAACGAGGGAAUUAGGCAUUUUUGAAGGUUUCGAGGAAGGAUUGGACCUGGGAAAGAUAUGAGUGACUUUGCAAAUACUGUAUUCCCUUAGCUGCUGUGAUGUCACACUCCCCUGGUUUCCUUCUUAAUUGCUGAAGCAGGUCCUCCAAUCCGUAUCCUAGACGUGGCGUUCAGUGCUUUUCUUUACACCCUAUGCUUUCUCCAAAAUUUGUAUCUCCAGCUUAGAGAUGUAUUCUGAGCUCCAGAUCCGCAUAUCUACUGACUGUACCUCCACUUGGACGGCUCAUAUGUAUUUCAGACUCAGCAAGUUCAAAACUGGCUCACCAUUCCCACCUCCCCUCGUCCCACACCUGCUCUUCCACCAGUGAUCCCCAUCUUAGUUCAUUGCGCUACCAUCCACCCCACUGUUGUUCAUGCCAAAACCCUGGAAAUCAUCCUUGACAUCGCCCUUUUCUCAACUCCUGAACAUCUAUUCACUAAUCAAAUGCUAUGGAAUCUACUUCUAAAUGGCUGUCAGUCGUCACUAUCUCUAACUAUCCUUGUCUUUGGCACCAUGAGAUCUAACCAUCUGCUGUGGUCUCUUAAGUGGUCUUUUAAGCAGGCCUUCACCAAUCCGAGUCCCUGCCUGGAAUGGGCUUGUCCACCUGCACCCCCAUCUUUCCUUUGGAAUUGCUCAUACUCUUACGUACUUACCCCUCAGAUCUCAGUUUAAAUAUUAUUUCUUCAGAAAGGAUCUCAAUUCAGAAGUGUGAGGAGAUUCUAGUGCAUUCUCAUAAGAUCUCUUAUGGAACUUUCACAACAACCCUGUGAAGUUGUAUAUUUUUCCAGUUUUACAGAAGAGAAGACAGACUUGAGUGAUUAGUUACAAGGUCACACAGAAAGUAACAGCUAAAUGUUGCUCUUGCCUGUCUUAUAACUCUUAUCUUCAGUAUUUUUCAGUGCCAUUAAAUAUUUUUUAUUCAAAUAGGUGCAUAGUAUUUAACUGACUUAUUUACUUAACAGACUUGUUAUUUAUAGCUAUUUAGGUGGGGUUUUUUGUUUGUUUGCUUUUUGCUAUGAUGAAUAACAGUAUGAUAAGUGGGUAACAUUCAAGCUAAAUUUGUCUGAACUUUCUUGAUUAUUUCUUUAGGAUAAAUUCCAAGAAGUAUAAUUGGGGAAAAGGGCAUGGCCUUUCAACAAGUUACAAUUUAUGGAAAAUAAAAGCAGUCACCCUUAAAAAAAUGUGACAAGGGGACUUCCCUGGCGGUCCAGUGGUUAAGACUCCUCGCCCAAUGCAGGGGGCACGGGUUCGAUCCCUGGUUGGGGAAGAACCCACAUGCUGCGUGGCACAGCAAAAAAAAAAAAAAAAAAAAAUGUGACAAGGAUUUGUAAAUGAGAAAAAUAAUAAUGGUACCUACUUUGUAAUGUUCUGAGGAUCAAAGUAAAUAUAUGUCCAAUCAUUUAGCAUAGUGCCUUUUACAUUUUAAGGGCUCAGUAAAUGUUAGUACUUACUCAUUUAUUUCAAAAUAGGGUUCUUACUGUGUAGUGUGGUUCUUCAGCCUGUUUGGGACAUAUUUUGAGUAUCUGAUGAAAUCUUUGAAACCCCUUCCUCCUUCCCACUCCUCUCCCCCAGCAAAAUGAUAUAUGUCUUUGUCAUAUGUCAACUACCUGCAAUGUAUGGACCCAAAUUAAGAACUGCUAAUAGAUUCCACUUUACAAGUGCUUUUUUCCCCAUUUAUAAGUUGCAAGCAUUUUCCUAUGGCAUUAAAUAUUCUUAUAAAGCAUUAUUUUUCAUUACUGUAUAAUAUUCAUAAUUAUUUAAUCAGUCUCCUCUUGUUGACAGGUUAACAUCUGUAUACCCUAAUCUUUGUAUGUUUUGCAAAUUUCCUUAGAAAUUAAAUUUCUAAAUGCAGAAUUACUAGGCCAAGAAUGUGAAUAUAAGGCUUUUUUUUUAAUUUUUUGCAUUUUGUUUUAUUUAUUUUUUUAUACAGCAGGUUCUUCUUAGUCAUCAGUUUUAUACACAUCAGUGUAUACACGUCAAUCCCAAUCGCCCAAUUCAUCCCACCACCAUCCCCACCUCCCUGCCGCUUUCCCCCCUUGGUGUGCAUUCGUUUGUUCUCUACAUCUGUGUCUCAAUUUCUGCCUUGCAAACCGGUUCAUCUGUACCAUUUUUCUAGGUUCCACAUACAUGCGUUAAUAUACAAUACUUGUUUUUCUCUUUCUGACUUACUUCACUCUGUAUGACAGUCUCUAGAUCCAUCUACGUCUCAACAAAUGACCCAGUUCGUUCCUUUUUAUGACUAAUAUUCCAUUAUAUAUAUGUACCACAUGUUCUUUAUCCAUUCAUCUGUUGAUGGGCAUUUAGGUUGCUUCCAUCACCUGGCUAUCGUAAAUAGUGCUGCAGUGAACAUUGGGGUGCAUGUGUCUUUUUGAAUUAUGGUUUUCUCUGGGUAUAUGCCCAGUAGUGGGAUGGCUGGAUCAUAUGGUAUUUUUAUUUUUUAUUUUUUUUUUUAUUUUGCUGUAUGCGGGCCUCUUACUGCUGUGGCCUCUCCCGUUGUGGAGCACAGGCUCCGGACGCGCAGGCUCAGCGGCCAUGGCUCACGGGUCCAGCCGCUCUGUGGCAUGUGGGAUCUUCCCAGACUGGGGCACGAACCUGUGUCCCCUGCAUCGGCAGGCAGACUCUCAACCACUGCGUCACCAGGGAAGCCCAUGGUUAUUUCAGAGACUAUGGAUAUACUCUUCAGAAUGAGAGGUGGCCUUGAUCUAGCUUUUCAGCUAGCUACUCCUAAUGAAAUUUUUGUCAAGAAAGCACUAAAACAUAUGUUGAGUGACCUAUCAACCAAGCUUUCUUCAAAUGCACUUGUGUUCAGAAUCUGCCACAGUUCAGUGCACAUAUGGCCUAACAGUGACAUGAACACCAUUCCAGGAGAACUGACUGAUAGUUCCACCUGUAAGAACAUAAUGCGCUUUAUUCAAUUUGGACAGGAAGAAGAUACAAAACGAAAAUUCAUGAGGAAGAAAGACAAAAAGUUGUCAGACAUGCAUCAAAUAGUAAAUAUAGAUCUUAUGCUGGAAAUGUCAACCCCUCUGGCAGCUGUAACACCCAUCAUUGAAAGAGAAAGCGGAGGACACCACUAUGUUAAUAUGACUUUACCAGUCGAUGCAGUUGUACCUGUUGCUCCAGAAGAAACGUGGGGAAAAGUUCGUAAACGUCUGGUUGAUGCAAUUCAUAAUCAACUAACUGAUAUGGAAAAAUGCAUUUUGAAAUACAUGAAAGGAACAUCUAUCGUGGUCCCUGAACCACUGCACUUUUUAUUACCAGGGGAAAAAAAUCUUGUAACAAUUUCAUAUCCAUCAGGAAUUCCAGAUGAUCAGCUGCAGGCCUAUAGAAAGGAGUUACACAAUCUCUUCAAUCUGCCUCAUGACAGACCUUAUUUCAAAAGGUCUAAUGCUUAUCACUUUCCAGAUGAACCAUACAAAGAUGGUUACAUUAGAAAUCCACAUACUUAUCUCAAUCCACCUAACAUAGAGACUGGUAUGAUUUCUGUGGUCCAGGGCAUAUAUGGUUACCAUCAUUAUAUGCAGGAUCGGAUCGAUGACAAUGGCUGGGGCUGUGCUUAUCGGUCUCUGCAGACUAUCUGCUCUUGGUUCAAACACCAGGGAUACACAGAGAGAUCCAUUCCAACACACAGAGAAAUUCAGCAGGCUCUAGUUGAUGCUGGGGACAAACCAGCAACAUUUGUCGGAUCACGGCAGUGGAUUGGAUCUAUCGAGGUGCAGCUGGUACUGAACCAUUUGAUUGGUAUAACUUCAAAAAUACUUUUUGUCAGCCAAGGUUCUGAAAUGGCCUCUCAGGGACGGGAACUGGUUAAUCAUUUCCAGAGUGAAGGAACGCCAGUAAUGAUCGGGGGAGGAGUUUUGGCCCACACAAUACUAGGAGUUGCAUGGAAUGAGAUUACAGGACAGAUAAAAUUUCUGAUUUUAGAUCCGCAUUAUACAGGCGCUGAAGAUCUACAAGUUAUUUUAGAAAAGAAGAAUAAAAAUGAAAAACCUAGUGCUUCCCUGGUGGCACAGCAGUUAAGAAUCUGCCUGCCAAUGCAGGGGACACGGGUUCGAGCCCUGGUCAGGGAGGAUCCCACAUGCCGUGGAGCAACUAAGCCCAUGUACCACAACUACCAAGCCCGUGCUCUAGAGCCCACGAGCCACAACUACUGAAGCCCGCGUGCCUAGAGCCCAUGCUCCACAACAAGAGAAGCCACCGCAAUGAGAAGCCCGCGCACCGCAACAAAGAGUAGCCCCUGCUCGCCACAACUAGAGAAAGCCCAUGUGCAGCAACGAAGACCCAGUGCAGCCCAAAAUAAAACAAAUAAAUUUAUUAAAAAAAGAAAAAAAAAGAAAAACCUAAAGAGCAUCUCUACUCAACCCUCCCACCUCCACACUGAAAAACAGACUAACACACCAUCUUCUCCUGUAGGAACUAUGACCUUUGACUUCAGGUCGCUGCCAGAAUGCCCAGCAGCUUCCCAGUUAGGGCUGGUGUGGAUGGAAGGGUCCAGACUUUUGGAACAGCGAUGCUUACUAUAACUUAUGUCUUCCUCAGCGACCAAAUACUAUUUAAAAUAUCUUGGACUCAAAGACUGUAGUAAAGUUGUACUUUAUAAAUUUGUUGAUAAAGAAUAAAUUUAAUUUCAAAUUGAA